UUUUCAUGGCACCAAUCAACCAUUUUGCAAAUCAUGGAUUGAGUCUUUGACAAAUAAACAACACAUGGAUCCACAAGAUGCAAUGACAUACUGAAACCAAGGAUCCAUGCUAACAAUAAGCUUAGACAUUCAAACCAAAUUUGACCCCACAUAAUAGUUUUCUGUUGAAUCCAUGAUUUGAUCCUUAGCAAAUCGUGAAUAGUAUAAAUUGGAAGCUGAGUUGUGACUGAACUGUGUCAGAAUGUAUCAAUAAUAGUGAUGAAGAAUUUAAUGUGUGAUUUUAUCCACUGUUGGAUGGAAUGUACUGGAUGAAAAUCUAGGUUUUGAUUUAUUGCAUGCCCGUAGUAAGCUAGUAGACAGGUUGUGCAUUUAUGAGCUAGAAUGGCGUUAUUUGUUGUGAUAUCACGACAGGGUGACUGGGUGCAAGUCCCCAGGAAUCAGUCAGGUGUGACAUUUUACCAUAGGGAACACAGAUGUUUGAUGUGGUGUUAUCAACUAAAUAGUUAAUGGUUAGGUCAGAUUGUAAGUUUAUCUCCGACAAUAUAAUGGAUUUAACUUGACUUUGAUCACAAAAUACUGGUUGUACUGUAUGUUAUUGCUUAUGUUGACUUUCAUCUUAGCUGUCAAAACAAACCUGAUUGAUGAUGUUGGAAAGUGUCAUUCAUCAAGUUUAAUGUGGUGUUAUAUGUGGACCAGAAAACAGCAUGAUUAUCUAUUAUCUCGAAACUUAAUUUAUUAUUUUUCAUAUUUUAAUCUUUUUAGAAAAAAAGAAAAUUUGAAAACUUGAUGUGCCUUAAAUAAAUGUUCAGUGCAGAAGGUUGAGUUGUUUGCUUCUCUUGUCACUUUGUUUUUUGUUUGGAUUAUAAACUAUUGACAACAGGUGAACUUAGUUCAGUUUAAGUGAUUAAAUCAAAAUUAUUACAAUAUAUGGUCGGUGUUUUAACUGCUAUGUAAUGUAGGAUAUUUGCUAUGAGAACACUAACAAGAAUUAACUUCUGUCAAUGAAAGUGUUCACUCAUCAGUUUUUAUAGUUGCCAUGGCUAUACUGUGCACUUAGUGUUUUAGACAAUCUUCACUUGUUGCAGUUUGUAAGUUAGGAUAUGGAGUUUCUUUCCAUCUUUAACACAUGGGUAUAUAAAACUAAUUGAGAAGGAGAAACACUGUGGAUACAACUUUGAGAAGAUGGGGUUGUUUAGGCUUCAGUGAUACAAAAGGUGUUGCUAAAAGGGGCAUAAACUGACUCACUCACUGAUACAAAAGGAUGAACCCAUUUACUUAUACAACAACAAAUUGGAAGUCAGAUGUGAGUACAUAUUACAUCAUAUCACUGGUUGUUAUUUCUGUGUUUUUUAUUUAUGUAUACAAAGAAAUGCAUCCUUAUUGGAAGCGUCUUACAUCUGUGCCUGUUUGAAGUGCCUAGUAGCUUCAUGCUGACAUAGGGGCAGGAGUGUGGCCUUCUGGCUAAAGUUUUUAUGAAAGGCUCCAAAGGUUAUAUGAAAGGCUCGGGUUCAAUUCCCUCUAUAAGUACAACGCAUGAAGCCCAGGUGUCCACGACCAUGAUAUUGCAGGAAUAUUGCUAACAGUGAGGUAAAGCCAUACUCAUACUUCCUAAUGGUAACAAACACGAUAUUACACUGGAAGUGAUUGGUAAACUUCAGCAUUGGAGCUCAGCUUUGGUGCCAGUUAAUGUUUAUGUAUUUGCAUAAUGGCAACAACCAUCAUGACAGACUUUGAGUUAAAUUGUGAUAAAAAUAACAAACCGUCCAGAAACGUUGCCUUCAGAAUUUACAGUUCAAUGACUACAGUUGCCUUACUGUUUUAUCAUCCCGUCCGUUGUAUGUUCCAUUGUUUUGGGUACAGUUAGGAGGAUGAGGAUGUUAUGUGAUCACAAUUCAUAUCAAAUGUCAUUCAUAUAUCAUGAGAAUAGUGUUAGUAAGAUCUGUUUUAUAAUUGUCAAUAAGAAUGUAGUUCUAUUUUCUACAAAUAUGGUUGUUUAAUAAAUAGUAUUCUUAUACACUAAAA
rnacentral:lncRNA from 1 species